rnacentral:rRNA from 1 species
GAUGAACGCUAGCGGCAGGCCUAACACAUGCAAGUCGAGGGGUAGAACACUUCGGUGUUUGAGACCGGCGCACGGGUGCGUAACGCGUAUGCAAUCUACCUUAUACAGGGGAAUAGCCCAGAGAAAUUUGGAUUAAUGCCCCAUAGCAUUACGACUUGGCAUCAAGAUGUAAUUAAAGUUCCAACGGUAUAAGAUGAGCAUGCGUCCCAUUAGUUAGUUGGUAAGGUAACGGCUUACCAAGACGAUGAUGGGUAGGGGUCCUGAGAGGGAGAUCCCCCACACUGGUACUGAGACACGGACCAGACUCCUACGGGAGGCAGCAGUGAGGAAUAUUGGUCAAUGGUCGCAAGAUUGAACCAGCUAUGCCGCGUGCAGGAAGACGGUCCUAUGGAUUGUAAACUGCUUUUAUACAGGAAGAAACCCUCCCACGUGUGGGAGCUUGACGGUACUGUAGGAAUAAGGAUCGGCUAACUCCGUGCCAGCAGCCGCCGUAA